rnacentral:lncRNA from 1 species
GAAAUUACAUCAUGUACAUUUCUGACAAAUCAAUUUGCAUAGUUUUCAUUCUAUGAAACACUGAAGGAUUUAGGGUGUGGCAAUUACAUGAUCAGGUAGGAUAUAAGGCAGCCAAAGGAGGUUGAUAGGCCACUCAGUCACUCAACAUCAUCACAGACAGCUUCUAUCAACUCUGAAACAGAAGAGGAUGAAGACCCUCAGUGUGAUAGUGAUGUUCACCCUCCUGGGUGUCCUGUUGGCAAACCCACUCAACGAGGUCAAUUCUCAGGAAGAUUUGGAUGACAGUGGGCUCAAUGAACUGGAAUCUCCAAAGUUGGCUCCAAUGCAGAACCCUCCGUCUCAAGAAGACCAGGAGAUUCAAAAUGAUGUGGAAGAUGCAAUUGCUGCAAUGGAAGAUUAUCAGAAGGAUCCCAAAGCUGAGAAGUUGCAGUCUCUAUUCUUUAGGUUUAAGUGGCUGUUACGCAGACUCUUCAGGACUUUCUUCGGUUGGCGUCGCCACCAUCACCACCAUCAUAGAUGGUAUUGAGGAUCCUCUCCAGUCUCCAUAUGAAAUGUAUCACGAUACAACUCACAAGUCUCCUGACAUCACCUCUCACCAACCUGAUGUAUCAACAACCUCUUAGACCCACAUCAUCACUAUAUCUACUGAUUAAUGCUGUGUUCCAAAUGACACCCUAUUCCCUUUAGAGCACUGCUGUUAAGAUGGUCUGAAGUAAAGUUAAAGACAGGGAAUAUGGUGACAUUUCAGACACACUUGGUCACCAUUUCUCUGUCUGUUUUGAUACUUUAGGAAUGAUUAGAGAUGAUUAACAUUGACUAUAUGAAGAUUCGGUGGGAAUAUUGUAUGGCUGAUCUGUCAAAUUGUAAUCCUUCAAUAAAUAUUUUUCAAGCAUCAUACAUUAUCAGCAGUGGCCGAUACGUACAAACAUCACUUUCUUCAUCAAUGAUUCUGUGGAAAAUGUCUGCGAUUUAUACAAGUAAAAACUUCUCAGAGUCUGGUA